AACUGAAUUUUUAUCACUGUAUCGUUUCUUAUUUUUCAUUGGAAUUACAAACAGAAUGAAUGUCCUGAGCCCGAGCCAGGCUGUGACUUUGAAGCAGUGGAAGAAGCUAAGGAGCCAUGGAAAACACUUAAAGUGACUCCACAGGCACCCCAAGUAUUUACCAUACAGAUGGAACAAAUAGCACCAUUUGAUCGAGAGGUCGUACUUUGUCAAAUGCUCUCAAGUAGGAUCGCGGACUGUAACAGCAAAGAUUAUCUAUACUGUAGUCGUCCAAGUUGAACCAAAUUCUUCGCCAGUCACCUGUACCUGUGCCAAG